rnacentral:rRNA from 1 species
GAUGAACGCUGGCGGCGUGCCUAAUACAUGCAAGUCGAGCGAACAGAUGAGGAGCUUGCUCCUCUGACGUUAGCGGCGGACGGGUGAGUAACACGUGGAUAACCUACCUAUAAGACUGGGAUAACUUCGGGAAACCGGAGCUAAUACCGGAUAAUAUAUUGAACCGCAUGGUUCAAUAGUGAAAGACGGUUUUGCUGUCACUUAUAGAUGGAUCCGCGCCGCAUUAGCUAGUUGGUAAGGUAACGGCUUACCAAGGCAACGAUGCGUAGCCGACCUGAGAGGGUGAUCGGCCACACUGGAACUGAGACACGGUCCAGACUCCUACGGGAGGCAGCAGUAGCGAAUCUUCCGCAAUGGGCGAAAGCCUGACGGAGCAACGCCGCGUGAGUGAUGAAGGUCUUCGGAUCGUAAAACUCUGUUAUUAGGGAAGAACAAAUGUGUAAGUAACUAUGCACGUCUUGACGGUACCUAAUCAGAAAGCCACGGCUAACUACGUG